AUAAUCCUUUAGUCCAUGUAUUUCCAUCCAGUCUUUAUUAUUUGUACUAUUUAUAUUGUUACACUUGACUUGUAUUGUAUUUGUAUUAUUGUAUUCUGAUUUUAUUGUUGGUCAUUAUUUCUCCUAGCUGUUGAGAGAGCUGCAGAACACCUGAUUCUGAUAUAUAUAUAUAUAUAUAUGCAGGUUUAUUUUGAAGGCCUCUCUCCUCUCUUCCUGUCUCUCCUCCUCCACCUUUACGCAUCUCUCCACUCUGCAUGUUGCGACAUCCGCACACCGACUGGAACAAUCCUCUGUUUAGUAGUCAGGACCAACAGCACCGAACCCAACAUGGCAAAGAGCGUAAAUUAGUGCUCCGCUGCUCAGAGCUGAAUAGACCAGAGAGACCUCCUUCUCUGUCCUGCUGCUCAGAUAAACGAGGCCAGAGGGCUCAAUGUUCCAGCACCGACAUCCAGAUCAGCUCAUCUCACUGACACUAUCACCAUCUCCACCACAAAUUACGCACCAUAAUUUACCAUAAUUCACCAUCAUCUUCUAUAAAUACACCUUUACAAUUACACCUGCAGCUGCUGGUUCUGCAGACUGAGUCUCCAUCACAUUCCGUUAGAGAAGAGAACCCUCUGAUAGAGAAACACUCCCUGUUCUGUCCUGUCCUGUUUGAUAGAAGCUGAUUAAUGUGCUGUCAGAUGAAACGCUGCUCGGCGGUGUUUUACCUUCCAGAGAUGAUCUGGUGCUCGUCUCGGUGCGUCUGGAUGUCUCUCCUCCUCUUGCUCCUGGUCCUGGUCCUGGUCUCUGGUCUCUGGUCUGGUAACGCGCUCCUUCAGGCUGAGGCGUGGACGCCGUGGCCCCCACCGCCCGGCUGCUUGGAUGCACAUCUAUAAUCCACCCGUCCGGUGCAUGGGGCCAGGAAGCCACAAGGCGAGCCCUCCCUCCCUCCCUCCCUCUGUCCCUCUCUCCUUCCCUCUCUCCCUCCCUCCCUCCUCCGUCCCUCACUCUCUCCCUCCCUCCAUCUCCUCUACCCCCCAUGUGUGUGGAAAUGUGUGCCCGUGCGGUGCCAGUCUCCUGCACAAGCCUACUAAUUUACUACCAGGAGGCUGAGAUAGAAGUUUUUGAAAUGACACCAAAGUGACCCGAAACUACCAACGAGAGAAAAAGUGCAGGGGGCCAGGAAGCCACAAGGCGAGGCCCUCCCUCCCUCCCUCUCUGGGCUGACGAUACAGACCUCCCCCCUCCUCUCCUCUACCCCCCCAUGUGUGUGGAAAUGUGUGCCCGUGCGGUGCCAGUCUCCUGCACAAGCCUACUAAUUUACUACCUGAGAUAGAAGUUUUAAUUUAACAAUAGGCCUAGAUUCCUGGAAUGAAUGGGCACGCACGCAUAUCAGCACAGUCUAACCGAGCCGGGGUGGAACUUUAGUCAAUGAUCCAUCAACACCGAGGAUAAAUAAAUAAAUAAA